GACGAACGCUGGCGGCGUGCCUAACACAUGCAAGUCGAACGGGGUGAGAUCCUUCGGGAUUUCACUUAGUGGCGGACGGGUGAGUAACGCGUGAGGAACCUGCCUUUCAGAGGGGGACAACAGUUGGAAACGACUGCUAAUACCGCAUAACGCGUAGAGGUCGCAUGGCCUUUACGCCAAAGAUUUAUCGCUGAAAGAUGGCCUCGCGUCUGAUUAGCUAGUUGGUGAGGUAACGGCCCACCAAGGCGACGAUCAGUAGCCGGUCUGAGAGGAUGAACGGCCACAUUGGGACUGAGAUACGGCCCAGACUCCUACGGGAGGCAGCAGUGGGGAAUAUUGGGCAAUGGGGGAAACCCUGACCCAGCAACGCCGCGUGAAGGAAGAAGGCCCUCGGGUUGUAAACUUCUUUUACCAGGGACGAAGAACGUGACGGUACCUGGAGAAAAAGCAACGGCUAACUACGUG
rnacentral:rRNA from 1 species